rnacentral:rRNA from 1 species
UACGGAGGGUGCAAGCGUUAUCCGGAUUUACUGGGUUUAAAGGGUGCGUAGGCGGACUAUUAAGUCAGAUGUGAAAGCUUGCAGCUCAACUGUAAGAUUGCGUUUGAUACUGGUAGUCUUGAAUUAAGUAGAAGUGGGCGGAAUAAUUCAAGUAGCGGUGAAAUGCUUAGAUAUGAAUUAGAACACCAAUUGCGAAGGCAGCUCACUAUGUUUACAUUGACGCUGAGGCACGAAAGCGUGGGGAUCAAACAGG